CAGUCGCCGCGGUAAUACGGAGGGAGCUAGCGUUGCUCGGAAUUACUGGGCGUAAAGCGCACGUAGGCGGAUCGAUCAGUCAGGGGUGAAGUCCCAGGGCUCAACCCUGGAACUGCCUUUGAUACUGUCGAUCUGGAGUAUGGAAGAGGUGAGUGGAAUUCCGAGUGUAGAGGUGAAAUUCGUAGAUAUCGGAAGGAACACCUGUGGCGAAAGCGGCUCACUGGACAAUAACUGACGCUGAUGCACGAAAGCUAGGGGAGCAAACAGGAUUAGAUACCCCAGUAGUCCCUGUCUCUUAUAC
rnacentral:rRNA from 1 species